GCUUGUCUCAAAGCUUAAGCCAUGCAAGUGUAAGUUCACGCCACGCAUUAGAACGGGCGAAACCGCGAAUGGCUCAGGAACCGGACCUAAUCCUCGGGACCGUAAUCCUCCUCGGAGGCGAUGGAUAACUGUGGCAAUUCUAGAGCUAAUACAUGUGACACAGGCCGCGAUCGGCCGUCGCGCCGUGGUCGUCUCGCCUUCAUUGCGCGCAGGCACCCGCGACGGCCGUCUUGGGUCGCGGCGCUACAUAUUAGACUGAGACCGAUGCGCGAUUUCCGCCCUCCCUUCGGCYCGGGUUCCCUCGCGGGUUCUCGGCGUCGUCGGGGCCAAAGGUGCGGCGCGCUCCGCUUUGGUGACUCUGGAUAACUCACUGGUCGAUCGCACGGGCUUCCACGCCCGGCGACGGGUCCCCCGAGGGUCCGCCCUAUCAACUGUCGACGGUCGGUUAAGUGCCUACCGUGGUUACUACGGGUAACGGGGAAUCGGGGUUCGAUUCCGGAGAGGGAGCAUGCGAAACGGCUACCACAUCCAAGGAAGGCAGCAGGCGCGCAAAUUACCCACUCCCGGCACGGGGAGGUAGUGACGAAAAAUAACGACGCGGGACUCUGUCGAGGCCCCGCGAUCGGAAUGAGUACACUUCAAAUCCGUUAACGAGGACCAACCGGAGGGCAAGUCUGGUGCCAGCAGCCGCGGUAAUUCCAGCUCCGGUAGCGUAUAUUAAAGUUGUUGCGGUUAAAAAGCUCGUAGUCCGAACUCGGGUUCGUGGUCGCUCACGCGGCCCCGGGGCGGCGGCGCCAUCGUCCAUCGUUGACUUUGGUCGUCCGUUCGCAUUCCCGGCCCUUUCCGCCGGUGUCAAUCGCUGUAUAGACGGCCGCGGGACAGCUGGUGGCAGGCGUGACUCUCCGGUUCAAUCGCUUGUUGUUGYCGGUGCGCGCGUGACGAAAGUGCGGGUCCUCGUGGCCCAAACGGCAGUCCGUGUGCUCCCGGNGGCGGCGAGUCUGUUCCGGGGAUCCGGGCUCUCGGGCCCCCUGUCGCUACGCCCUCGCGUCGCCGUCGGUGAUUUCUCCUCCAAGGGUGCUCUUAACCGAGUGUCCGCGGCGGCCGGUACGUUCACUUUGAAAAAAUUAGAGUGCUCAGAGCGGGCUGUUCAAGCUUGCAUACGAUAAGCAUGGAAUGAUGGAAGAGGGCCUCGUCUACGUCUGUCGGUCUCCGUCUACGGCGAGGCAAUGAUCGAAGGGAGCGGUCGGGGCCACUCGUAUUGCGACGUUAGAGGUGAAAUUCUUGGAUCGUCGCAAGACGAACUGCAGCGAUGGCGUGUGGCAAGCACGUUUUCCUCGAUCAAGAGCGAAAGUCGGAGGUUCGAAGACGAUCAGAUACCGUCGUAGUUCCGACCGUAAACGAUGCCGACCGGCGAUCCGCCGGCGUUCGCUUCCAUGACCCGGCGGGUAGCCUGCGGGAAACCAGAGUUCGGUUCCGGGGGGAGUAUGGUUGCAAAGCUGAAACUUAAAGGAAUUGACGGAAGGGCACCACCAGGAGUGGAGCCUGCGGCUUAAUUUGACUCAACACGGGAAAACUCACCCGGUCCGGACACCGGUAGGAUUGACAGAUCGAUAGCUCUUUCUCGAUUCGGUGGGUGGUGGUGCAUGGCCGUUCUUAGUUGGUGGAGCGAUCCGUCUGGUUGAUUCCGAUAACGAACGAGACUCCGGCCUGCUAACUAGUGCGCCGAUGUCAGUGCGGCGCCGCAUCCCGGCGUCGUGUGCGGGCUCGUCGGCGAUUUUUGAUCGUCUCUCGUGUCCGGGUCGGUUUCUCACGCACUUCUUAGAGGGACGGGUGGCAGAAAGCCACACGAGGCGGAGCGAUAACAGGUCUGUGAUGCCCUUAGAUGUCCGGGGCCGCACGCGCGCUACACUGGAGGUAUCAGCGGGGACUUCGCCCCGGCCCGAGAGGGUCGGGAAACCUCUCAACCACCUCCCGUGAUAGGGAUCGGGGCCUGUAACCAACCCCGUGAACGAGGAAUUCCCGGUAGGCGCGGGUCAACAGCCCGCGUCGAUCACGUCCCUGCCCUUUGUACACACCGCCCGUCGCUACUACCGAUCGAACGGUCCGGUGAGGUCCUCGGAUCUGGCCGACGACGCCGCCGGGUUGCGGAGUGCUCGCCUCGCGCGGGUCUUCACGCCUCGGCGUUCGAUGCCUGGAGAAGACGACCGAACCCGAUCGUUUAGAGGAAGUAAAAGUCGUAACAAGGUUUCCGUAGGUGAACCUGCGGAAGGAUCAUUA
rnacentral:rRNA from 1 species